GACGUAGGGCGCGAGCGUUUGUCCGGAUUGAUUGGGCGUAAAGAGCUCGUAGGCGGCUCGUUGCGUCGGCUGUGAAAUCCCGAGGCUCAACCUCGGGUCUGCAGUCGAUACGAGCAAACUAGAGUGUUGCAGGGGAGACUGGGAAUUCCUGGUGUAGCGGUGAAAUGCGCAGAUAUCAGGAGGAACACCGGUGGCGAAGGCGGGUCUCUGGGCAACAACUGACGCUGAGGAGCGAAAGCGUGGGGAGCGAACAGG
rnacentral:rRNA from 1 species